rnacentral:misc_RNA from 1 species
AACAUCGCGCACCUGCGGGAACCUGCGGAAGGAUCAUUACAGAGUGUAAAAACUCCCAAAACCCAUGUGAACAUACCUUUUUGUUGCUUCGGCGGGAUCGCCCCGGGCGCCUUGUGUGCCCCGGAGUCAGGCGCCCGCCGGGGGACCCAAACUCUUGUUUUUAACGAGUAUCUUCUGAGUAACGUUUUUAAAUAAAUAAAAACUUUCAGCAAUGGAUCU